GGUUGUGUAGUGUAGUGGUUAUCACAUCGGAUUCUGAUCAGACUGGUCUGGAAGAAUCCAGCUCACACCUUCCGGUAACCUGGGUUCGACUCCCAGCAUGACCU